rnacentral:misc_RNA from 1 species
GAAAAUUAUCAUAUGUUUAUUUUGAUAAAGUAGCAUGUUAGUUACGCUUCACCCAAGUUCGGGGGUUUAAAUUUUUGUUUUCACUACAGAUUUAUUGUGAAAAUGUUGCAAUUUGUUAAUGUUCAAAGUCAAUGAACAGAACUUCAUGUACAGGAUCUUGCAUAUAUAUGGAGCCUGUAAUACUUGCUUAGCAGUGUCCAAUGUUAACAAGAAAUGUAUAGACAUUCAAGUGAAGGUGUGGGUUAAGGUGUCGGUGAAAUGGUAAUAUUCCAAGUUAGAAUUCCCGAAAGCAAGCAUUAGGGGAGAAUGAUAGAACUCUAGUUCCAUUUGGUUUUCUUGUUGAAUACCACGGAGACAUUUGAAUUGGGAAUUUCUUGAAAGCAGCUAAACUUAGGAUCAAGCUAGUGAUAUCUUUAAUUUCAAUAUAGGAAGUGACAGGAAUUUGUAAAAUCCAAGAAGCAGGGAAGCACCAAACAGAC